CCAAAUACUAACCGGCAAACCCUAGUACCGCAUUCCUGCUCUCCUUCUCAAAGUGUGGGUUUUUUUUCUCCUGCUCUCUCUCCUUUCUUCACUCUUCACUUUUACUCUCACUCUCACUUUCGCUCUCUACACUCACUAUUCUCUCUCACUUCACUCCAACCUCCCAACCAACCACCACCACACCACCACCACCACCACCAACAGAAUUGCCGGAACACCGCCACCUCUACCACCACCAUUGCAAGGAGAUCCGGUUAAGCACAAACACCACCUCAACCACCACCAUCGGCGGGACGCUAGCAAGGAGCAUGGGUCCAAGAAAAAAGGUGAAAGAAGUUGGACGAGAAUCCUCAAGCCAGGAUGAUUACAAGUCAAAGUUGAUCGUUCAAGUAAAUUUUGAGCAAGUAAAUCCCUUUACAAGGUCAAUUUUAGCCCGUUUUGGGUCCAAUGCAUCCAUUUCAUACCGCAGCAUGUAAGUUUAGCUUAUAAUCUACUCUAAUAUGUUGUUUUAAGAUUACUAGAAUAACCAUAAGUCAAAGUUGAUCGUACUAAUCAAUUUUGUUCAAGUAAAGGUCAUUUCAAGUUCGUUUUAGACCAUUUUGGGUCCAAUUCAUCCAUUUAUAUACCAUAGCAUGUAAUUUUUGCUUAUAAUUUUUGCGUUUUGUGCCCUUUUUUGAUUGAGUUUCAUAUGCGGCAGAAUAAAUCCCCAUUUCUUGCAUUUUCAAUUUAUUUUCCGCUAUCCUCUUUUCUCUAUAUUUCUCAUAAUCUGUCAUCUUGAAUGUCUAAUGUGAGAUUAGCUUCUGCACAAAGAGGUCAUAGACAUUCAGUUUAAAAAAAAAGGACAGAGAGUUAUGGUUCCAGUAUACUACAUAUAACAAUAGACCAUUAAAAAUACAAGUAAAAAAAUUAUGUCAAUUUAUUGUUCCUGUCAAUUUUAACUAAGACAUAAAAGACAUGACUAAUUCAUUGUUGCUCAUUAAACUAUUUCGCGACUUCGUAGUUCACCUGUAUAGACGGAAAAAAAUAAAAAUAAAA